rnacentral:rRNA from 1 species
GCACCACAAGAGGUGGGACCUGCGGUUCAAUUGGAUUCAACGCCGGAAAACUCACCAGGGGCGACAGCUGGUUGACGGCCAGAUUGACGAUCUUGCCCGACUAGCUGAGAGGUGGUGCAUGGCCAUCGUCAGCUCGUACCGUGAGGCGUCCUGUUAAGUCAGGCAACGAGCGAGAUCCUCGCCCUUAGUUGCCAUCGGUGGAAAGCCGGGCACUCUAGGGGGACCGCUGGCGCUAAGUCAGAGGAAGGAGAGGGCGACGGUAGGUCAGUAUGCCCCGAAUCCCCUGGGCUACACGCGGGUCACAAUGCGCAGGACAAUGAGAUGCAACCCCGUAAGGGGAAGCCAAACCCAUAAACCUGCGCUCGGUUCGGAUCGAGGGCUGUAACUCGCCCUCGUGAAGCUGGAAUCUCUAGUAAUCGCGUGCCAACACCGCGCGGUGAAUGCGUCCCUGCUCCUUGCACACACCGCCCGUCAAGCCACUCGAGUGGGGUUUGGAUGAGGUCAGUUCAAGUUGUGCUGCUCGAAUCCGAGUUCUGCAAGAGGGGCU